AAAGUUUGUAUAUGCCAAUUGUGGUUGAAACGUAAACCAGCAUGCACAGGGGUACCCCAGAGUUUGGGAAAGACUGGCCAAUAGGCGAAGCCAACAGUGUUUUAGGAAGCUCUAGGAAGGUCCGUCGGCAGCUACACAUGUGGUAUAUACGCCGCUUGCUCAAGACUUCCAGUUCAGCUUGAGGGGCCUUGAUUCAGAGCGCAUUCCCGAUGAGAUCAAGGAGAUCACAUCAUACCUUCACUACCUCCAACCAAACGCAAACGAUUUCUACAUUGAAGGGGAUUUUGUACUUGAGCCAAAUAAAACUAUCCUGCGGAAACCUAACUGUUUCGAGACUGUGUGGCAGAACCUGAUGAAUUUACUGGCAAGAGUGAAGCCUAAGCCAUCAAGCAAUUUAACCAUAAAAGUAAUUGACUUAAAAUCACUGAAUCUGAUCAAGGGAGAAGCUGUUUGCCCUAUGGAUGAAGUCAGUGCAAAAAUAACAGGACCUAUAACAGGACGUAGAGCAAGCCUUAUAAUACAACGAUACCUCUAUUUUAUACGAAAGUUUAACCAACUUGUCACCAAUAACAGCAUAACAAAAAAAAAGGAAUAAGCGAUGUAAUGUAUUCAUAUAAUGUAUCUGUUUAUUUAUUGCAUUUAUUUAUUUACAUAAUUUAUUGUUUUUAUUUAAAUUGAGAGAUGCAUAUUUCAAUGGUUUAAGAUUACUUAACUUAGUCUAUUGCAUGUACAUGCAAUUGCACUGAAUACAUGCUGUAUUAUCUCAUUAAUCUUCAAUAAAUGUAAUAUUUAUUUCAUUA